UGUUUUCAAAAAAUGUUGAGAAAAUUUGUCAAACUUUGUGUGACCAUGUUAGACUUAUGAUAAUUCAAUUGGGCUUAUUCAAGUUGAUUUGAAUUGAAUUUGAAGUUUGACCAUACUUUGUUCAUUUUGUUUUAUGCUUUAUUUUAAUUCCGAAAAUACCAAAAAUAUGUUUGACCUUUAUUGACUUCUAAUCUUCAUUUCACUUAUGUUUAUUAUUGAUUGAUGUUGAUUUCAU
rnacentral:lncRNA from 1 species